CCGGAAGCUUUCUUGUAUCAUGCCUCAUUUUAGCAGUUAACUGGAAAACUAUCGUCUGCCAGCAGUCCAGGGAUAUUAGUUCGUGAUCAAAAAGUCAAACUAUGGACGUGUAAUGCCAGUUCGUGGUAAAACCUCGAGCUUAGAUCUCGCUUGAUAUUAGUUUGAUGAAAUAGUUCCAGUCCAUUAGCGUUAUACUUCCCUUUUUCCUUAAUCAGUUGUCACUUUCAUAAUUCCACACAGGUUUACUGUCGUUGUAGAAGGCGCGCCGUGUCCUAUAAUCGAUAUUGCGGGGGAAAAAGUGCACAUAAGUUUGCGUCUGCGAGUACGUAGCCGCAGUCUGAAAGCAACCACGAUGGAGCUCUUGUCGGUCGUUGAAACUGUAACGAUAGUCGUCACCUUUGUGCUUAUGGCAUCGGGAAUACCAUCAUGUCUGGACAUGUACAAGACCAAAGACACAAAGAAUGUGCCAUACCUGUUUUUUCUCAUCAACACAGUCAUAAGCCUAAUUGCUGUGUAUUAUGGACUGGUGGUCAGCAACUCCACUUUGAUUCUGGUCAAUGGUGUGGGCACAAUUCUCUGGGGGCUAUAUGUUUUUGUCUAUGUUGCUGUCAGCAGGUCUAAGAGCUGGCCUGUGGCACAAGUCUUGAUGCUGGCCUUACUUUUACUGGGACACCUGCUGUACCUGAAGCUGUUUACUCCGUACCCUCCAGCCCUUGCCAGCACUCUUGGCUUCUUUUUGUUUGUCUGGUCCGUGGUGGUGCUUCUAACUCCAAUCCUUGACAUAGUGCAGAUAGCACGAGAGCGAAGUGCUGAAGGAACCUCCAUUCCCUUGUUGCUGGGGGGCACACUGUGCUGUUUGGCCUGGCUUGCAUAUGGCUACCUCCUCAAUGAUUUUUUUGUCUAUGCUCCCAAUAUCCUUGGUCUUGGUGUGAACUUUGCCAAGUUUGUUGCAAUGGGUGUUUACAGUGGAGCAAAAUUCAAGGGCAAGACAUUGUAAAGGUCAAAUUUACUAGCAAGAAGCUUUUCUGCAUCUAUUUGUAAAUGCACUGUAGCACAUAUAUAGGUCAUGAACGUCUUCAACAACCCAGAGGUACUGUGUUUUCACAGAUUCACCUCUGAUAAUGAAGUAUAGCAAGUUGCGCUUACCUGGCUUCAGGAGCAGUCAAAACCUUCUGUGCAGAAAUACAAACGCUAGUUAAUAUAACAAUUUCUUGCCCAGGGACUAUAUGGGGAAAUGUCAUAUUUUGGAAAUAUGAUGAAGUUGCUCACAGUUAAAAUAUUAUUUGCCUUUACUUUUUGAUUCCCUUGUGUUUUGUGAUUUUAGCUUUUAGCUGCCCAUAUUAGGGACAUUACAUCUGUUAUAAAACUGUGCCAGAAUGAAAGUUAAAAUUGUUCUGUUUAUCAAUUUCUAUAAAUUUUAUAAAUUUCUAGUCUUCAGGAGCAAUCAGACCUUACUAGUGCCUUUUUAAUUCAAGUUGUUAAGUACAUGGACAGAGGGACAAGAUGAGUAAAUCAUACUUGUUUUAUUGAAGUUUAUUAAGAUGUUGUGAUAAUUUAAUUUAAACCACACACACACAGGUCAUCACUUUUUAAAAAACUUAAAUACUCAAUUCUGUCUUCAAAGGUGUGUUAAGACAGCAAGUGUACACUGUCCUCUUUCAUGUGAGCACUGGAUACAAAUUUCGUCUUUAUGUCAGAAAUGUUUUUGUAUUUAGCAUAUUUACUAGCUUUGUGGCACUGUUAUCCUGGCCUGCAAAUAUAGCAUGAGAUGUAAGUACAUAUUUUGAUAUUCAAGGAGAGGAUUUUUUUGUAAAAUGUAUACAGAAAUUCUAAAUGUGGCAUUACCCUCAAGCCUAGUCAUAAUAUUUUCUGUUUUUGUAUUCUGUGCUGUGUAGUCUAUAAUCAUAUGCUAUAAUCGUUUGUGUGUGCAUAUGUAAGGUCAUGAUGCGCACGAUUAUGCAUGUACACACAGGAAACGUGGCCUUAAACUGCCAUAUUUGUUGCAGUGAUGGCAGCAAUCAUACCAUAACAGAUUUUUGUCUUUAGGUGUAUGUUAAUUUAUCAAGCCAAUACUAGCUCAAUUUAAAUCUGUUCUUUAACCAUGAUGCACUUGAUGAUAAAUUGUGGUUACUCUGUUAAAUUUUAGUAUUGCCUCUCAGAACUAGUCCAGGUCAGAAUAUUUAUAAUUGUUACCAUGGUUUCCCUUGGGAUUGGUUAUUGCACUAUAGUUGUCAUGUACUAACAUAAUAAUCCCUUUGACCAUCAAUUUGCCUUGCUUCGUUCUUACUACAAUUUGUGAUUAAUGGAUUACAUGAAUAUUAGAAUGUUUGUAAUUGAAAUAGUUAAUCAUUACUGAGGUGAGAAUUUUACUAGCUUAAUAUGUGCCUCCCAAAAAAAUAUUCGAUCCAUACAUGUAAUACAAUAAUAAUAAUAACUAACUUUAUUUGUCCCAAUGGGCAAUUUAAGUGGGAGAUGUGCUCUGCAUUAUUAUAAAAAAAAAAUCAUUACAAUUACGAUGCAGUGGAAUGUAGAGCAGUGGUUCUCAAAGUGUGGUUCACAGACCACUUGUGGGCCGCAUUCAUGUCAGGUGGUCCACGGAUGACAGUCAUCGUAUAUCAGCAAAGUCAUGUUUAAAUUGCCAGAUAUGCUAAUUAGUCCAGUAUUGAUUGCACAUGAGUUUUAAUUUUAUCGAUGCCAACUGCUCAUUUGCAUAAAAUGCUUGCUUACCAAAUGUCUUUACAUCACAGCGUGAGCAUUGUGUCAUUUAACCAUGUCAUCUGUUACCCUUAGGAACGCAGUGCACGUCCUUUUUGUUAAUUUUUAUAUUUGUUUUGCUAAGUAUGUAAUUUGAUGUAAACUUAUGACUAUACUACUGUCGCAAAAUACAUUUACUUUUGAAUUGUAACAAAACAAAUGAGGCAGUUUAAAUUUGAAAUUCACGAUGCAGUGAUUUUAGGCCUUGGUGCUCCACCGCAUUUUUUUACUUAGGAAAGUGGUCUGCAGUUUGAAAUACUUUGAGAACCACUGAUGUAGAGUAUAACUAUCAUAUCCCAUAUCACUUGCACAUUAUAGCACCAAAAAGUGAUAUGUUGUUAUGAUGCUAGUUAUGAAUAUUUUGUCACAUUCACUGUGUAUUAAUAGGAGGUUUUUGUUGAUGUGGAAAUGCACAGCUGGGCACAGGCAGUGUUAAAUAUUACAGAAUAUAUAGAUUCAUGUUUUUACACCUCUUUAUGCCUUACUGUAUGUACAUGUGACAUUUAGACAAAUAAAGAUAAUGAAAAUUUAAAUAAGUAACAAAAUAUUUUUCUAUAUUAUUAAAAAUGGAGAACAAUGCAAGAACAACAUACUUAAACCAUCCUGAAAGGACUUAUUGAGAAAGACAAAUGCAUUCAUAGUUGAAUUGUGGAUAAAUGGCACAUAAACAGAUGUCUGUGUCUUGAAGACACUACAUUUGGUAAGCAUUUAUAUCCAUACCAGAACAACGUUGUCAUUUUCCUAUAUGUCCACAAUAAAUUAUUUUAAAAUGAA
rnacentral:misc_RNA from 1 species